UGGGGAAUAUUGGACAAUGGGGGGAACCCUGAUCCAGCCAUGCCGCGUGUGUGAAGAAGGCCUUAUGGUUGUAAAGCACUUUAAGCGAGGAGGAGGGUACUGGUAUUAAUACUACCAGCUACUGGACGUUACUCGCAGAAUAAGCACCGGCUAACUCUGUGCCAGCAGCCGCGGUAAUACAGAGGGUGCGAGCGUUAAUCGAGUUUACUGGGCGUAAAGCGUGCGUAGGCGGCUAAUUGAGUCGGAUGUGAAAUCCCCGAGCUUAACUUGGGAAUUGCAUUCGGUACUGGUUAGCUAGAGUGUGGGAGAGGAUGGUAGAAUUCCAGGUGUAGCGGUGAAAUGCGUAGAGAUCUGGAGGAAUACCGAUGGCGAAGGCAGCCAUCUGGCCUAACACUGACGCUGAGGUACGAAAGCAUGGGGAGCAAACAGG
rnacentral:rRNA from 1 species